AAUAUAUUUAUAUGUAUAUACAUAUACCAGCGCUGUACGGGUACCAGAAUUCUUCGGAUCGGUCGGUCCGGAAAAAUUCUAUUAGUUAAUCGGGUCGGGUUCCCGUGAUUUUCGGGAUUCCCUAAAAUUCCCGGAUCCCCCAAUGAAAGAUGAUAUACUUUUAACUGAAAAUAUUAAUGUCAUUUAGAUGCACUAUUUACUGUUAAUAUUUAGUAUUUGUCCAAUAUUAUGAAUAUUAGGUAAGUUAAGUUACUCAUGUUUCUGCUUUCCCUACUAUUCUGGGAUUGCUAAAAAAACCCGAUCAAAUAGAAACCCGUCCCAAACCCGAACUUUUUUCCCGAGAUUUCGGGAACCCACGCAUCCCUAAUAUAUAUUAUAUACAUGAUUGGUACUUGUUAUGUUGUGUUAUUCAAGACAGCCUUUAUGCCGGGAGUUAAUAAAUGAUAAAUAUAAAAUAAUGUUUGUACGUA